rnacentral:rRNA from 1 species
CAGUAGCCGCGGUAAUACGAAGGGGGCUAGCGUUGUUCGGAAUUACUGGGCGUAAAGCGCACGUAGGCGGAUAUUUAAGUCAGGGGUGAAAUCCCGCAGCUCAACUGCGGAACUGCCUUUGAUACUGGGUAUCUUGAGUAUGGAAGAGGUUAGUGGAAUUGCGAGUGUAGAGGUGAAAUUCGUAGAUAUUCGCAGGAACACCAGUGGCGAAGGCGGCUAACUGGUCCAUAACUGACGCUGAGGUGCGAAAGCGUGGGGAGCAACCAGGAUUAGAGACCCCCGUAGUCCCUGUCUCUUAUAC